GCGUGAAAAUCCCAGUAGAUCAGCAGUUUUUGAAAUACUCAGACCAGCCCGUCUGGCACCAACAACCAUGCCACGUUCAAAGUCACCUAAAUCACCUUUUUUCCCCAUUCUGAUGCUCGGUUUGAACUUCAGCAAGUUGUCUUCACCACGUCUAGAUGCCUGAGUUGCUGCCAUGUGAUUGGCUGAUUAGCUAUUUGUGUUAACAAGCAAUUGAACAGGUGUGCCUAAUGAAGUGGCCGGUGAGCGUAUAUUCUGAAUAGAAUCACAAAGACUGACUGCUUUCUGACCACCCUGUCAUGGUUCCAGGUGAAAGAACUGCUGGCCACUGAUGACAUUCAAACCCAACUCAGCCAUGGUGAUCUUGGACUUCCUCAUUAGACAUUCAUUUAUUGAGCCUGACACAGAGCCAUACUAUCAGGAAUUUGUGGCAGGACUCCUGUGACAGGAUGAUGUUUCUAACACAGGACAGAAGCAGAAAACGAAAACAUAUCUCCAGAUGAAAAAGUGUUGUCACACAUAGAAGACACCGACAGAGACGUCAAGAGAGCUUUUGGUGAUAAUGGCCGACCCCAGUAUCGAUGUGGUGUAAACAAAAACGUGAUCUCUUUAGUGGAAUUUAAACGUUAUAUCCUGCGUCUGCCUGCUGCUCCACCCCUCACCUGAAUCCUCCGUAAGAUUUCUGUGUUGUUGUGAACACGUCUGAGUGAAGAAUCUGCUGCGUGUGAAAAGGCAAAACUCUGCAGAAAGUCUGACCCAAUUCUGUGGACGUCCUCCAGGGGUCAUAUCGUAGAAUGAUUAUAUUUAUAUGUAUCUCAGCACAUCGCCUCCCAGAAGCCAAGUUGUGUCCUGUUGCUGUGAGACAAAAUCCAUCUAGAAGUGACUGAGCCUCAGCAGGGAGGUGAGGGGUGGGCUUCAUCUGAUGAAUCUGGGGAUUUAGGACGAGAUGACCCCGUCAUCUGCUAAUUGUAUUCAAGGCAGGCAAAUACAGACAUCAAUCUGUCUAAACCAUAACAAGAAGUGUAAAUAAAUAAGUAGUUCCUCACAAUAAUAUGCUAUUUCAACAUUCUCGAGUAUUUACAAAUGUGAAUUUAAUUAACAUUGUUCUAAUUAGUGACAAGACUCAGUCAACUCACCUCCACAGACACAAGAACACUGCAAGCACAUGACAGUAACUUGUGAAGUGAGGGUACAUAGCUGUUGUGGUAUUGGUGCUGCACUGAUCUCACUGAAACUGGUUGGAAAGGUUAAUGGGUGGAAAUGUCCCUAAUUACGAGAAUGACCUUUGAUCUUUCAGUCAGAACAGGGGAAUCUGAGCCCACAGAAUUCCCACGACACAUCUAAUAGAUUU